GACGAACGCUGGCGGCGUGCUUAACACAUGCAAGUCGAGCGGUAAGGCCCUUUCGGGGGUACACGAGCGGCGAACGGGUGAGUAACACGUGGGUGACCUGCCCUCAGCUCUGGGAUAAGCCUGGGAAACCGGGUCUAAUACUGGAUAUGACUCCAUGACGCAUGUUGUGGGGUGGAAAGCCUUGUGCGGCUGAGGAUGGGCCCGNGGCCUAUCAGCUUGUUGGUGGGGUGAGGCCUACCAAGGCGACGACGGGUAGCCGGCCUGAGAGGGCGACCGGCCACACUGGGACUGAGACACGGCCCAGACUCCUACGGGAGGCAGCAGUGGGGAAUCUUGCGCAAUGGGCGAAAGCCUGACGCAGCGACGCCGCGUGAGGGAUGACGGCCUCGGUUGUAACGUAC
rnacentral:rRNA from 1 species